AGACGAACCGUACGAACGUUAUUCGGAAUUACUGGGCUUAAAGGGUGCGUAGGCUGCACGGAAAGUUGGGUGUGAAAGCCCUCAGCUCAACUGAGGAAUUGCAUCCAAAACUGCCGUGCUUGAGGGAGACAGAGGUGAGCGGAACUCAAGGUGGAGCGGUGAAAUGCGUUGAUAUCUUGAGAAACACCGGUGGCGAAAGCGGCUCACUGGGUCUCUUCUGACGCUGAGGCACGAAAGCUAAGGUAGCAAACGGGAUUAGAAACCCCAGUAGUCC
rnacentral:rRNA from 1 species